ensembl:processed_transcript
UAGGUGUUAACGACGUGGACUUAAACUCUUUACAUGAACGUGAAGAUGUUGGUGCCAAUUCAUAGGUAAUUGUCCCUUCUGGGCCUGGAUGCUGCGAGUCUCGAAGGAGCCUAAGCUCAAGAUCAUGGCAAGGGCUAAUCUUCUUAUACUUAAGGGGCUAGACAUCAUUGUCAGGAUGCAAUCAGCUUUGCUCAAUGAGACAAGUAAUUUUCUGGACUUCCUUUGGAGAUGAGCCAUGGCCCACGGGUAAACGGAGAUGGGAAGCAGCAGGGCUCCUCUCCUAUAGUAGAUGCCGAGUGAAUUUCUGAACGUACAAGGGCUUCAACUCUGUUCCAGCCAACAUAAGAGUGAUGGGAAUAACCAGUGGGUCAUGACCUAAGUAUUGUUCCUAUUUAAACACCCCCCCCCCUGCCAUCCCAUUGGUCAACAUCAUGUCUCACCCCUUCUCCAUCCAGACUGUGUGUGCACGCGUGACCAGGCCUGAGGUUCGAGCCCAUGGCUUGCAGACUUGCUCUUUUUGUUUGUGCUACCCAGAAUUCCUGGUGACAUUUGUUGUGUGAAGAUUACUCACUGGCCCGUAGCCUGGCGUAGCACAACAGUGAUGGCUUUAAAGACAUGGAGUUGGCGCUGUCCCAGCCUCGACACCUCACCCACAAACUGUGCCUCCUGUCAACCCCCCCACGGGCACCUAUUGUGGUGAAUCAGUGACCGUACCGUUCCUUCUUUCUGCUCUUCACCAACAAAUGAUGAACUAAGUGGGAAAAAAGACAGAAUGGAAUGAAGAAGAAUAGAAGAUCCAGAGCAUGUUGGCUUUUGACUUUUGGAGUCAUUGUGGACAAUGCAAGUGCUGGACCAUCAUUUUCAAAAUACUGACAGGUGAGCACACAGAAUCCCAGAGCUGUUUAAGACCAAUAUUCAGGAUUCAAGCUCAUGGUGUCCACCUGGGAGACAGAGAUGAGUAUUUCACUCACAUACUGUGCAUGUGAGCCCACAGAAGAGCCAACUUGAUAGACUCCAUUACCCAGU